GAUGAACGCUGGCGGCGUGCCUAAUACAUGCAAGUCGAGCGAACAGACGAGGAGCUUGCUCCUUCGACGUUAGCGGCGGACGGGUGAGUAACACGUAGGUAACCUACCUAUAAGACUGGGAUAACUUCGGGAAACCGGAGCUACUACCGGCUAAUAUUUCGAACCGCAUGGUUCGAUAGUGAAAGAUGGCUUUGCUAUCACUUAUAGAUGGACCUGCGCCGUAUUAGCUAGUUGGUAAGGUAACGGCUUACCAAGGCAACGAUACGUAGCCGACCUGAGAGGGUGAUCGGCCACACUGGAACUGAGACACGGUCCAGACUCCUACGGGAGGCAGCAGUAGGGAAUCUUCCGCAAUGGGCGAAAGCCUGACGGAGCAACGCCGCGUGAGUGAUGAAGGUCUUCGGAUCGUAAAACUCUGUUAUUAGGGAAGAACAAACGUGUAAGUAACUGUGCACGUCUUGACGGUACCUAAUCAGAAAGCCACGGCUAACUACGUG
rnacentral:rRNA from 1 species